GCGGCAUUAGCUCAGGUAGUUAGAGCACUCGGUUGGACACGUCGGAAACCGCGAGAGGUCGUUAGUGCAACUCUAACAUGCCGUA
rnacentral:tRNA from 1 species